rfam:Myotis lucifugus cont2.36673, whole genome shotgun sequence.
CUGUCUCUUGCUUCAACAGUGUUUGGACCAAACAG